GACAGAGGGUGCAAGCGUUAAUCGGAAUUACUGGGCGUAAAGCGUGCGUAGACGGUUACAUAAGUCGGGUGUGAAAGCCCCGGGCUCAACCUGGGAAUUGCAUUCGAGACUGCGUAGCUAGGGUGCGGAAGAGGGAAGCGGAAUUUCCGGUGUAGCGGUGAAAUGCGUAGAUAUCGGAAGGAACACCAGUGGCGAAAGCGGCUUCCUGGUCCAGCACCGACGUUCAGGCACGAAAGCGUGGGGAGCAAACAGG
rnacentral:rRNA from 1 species